rnacentral:rRNA from 1 species
GGGCCCGCACAAGUAGUGGAGCAUGUGGUUUAAUUCGAAGAUACGCGCAGAACCUUACCAACACUUGACAUGUUCGUCGCGACUCUAAGAGAUUAGAGUUUUCGGUUCGGCCGGACGAAACACAGGUGCUGCAUGGCUGUCGUCAGCUCGUGUCGUGAGAUGUUGGGUUAAGUCCCGCAACGAGCGCAACCCUCACUUUUAGUUGCCAUCAUUAAGUUGGGCACUCUGAAAGAACUGCCAGUGAUAAGCUGGAGGAAGGUGGGGAUGACGUCAAGUCCUCAUGGCCCUUACGUGUUGGGCUACACACGUGCUACAAUGGUAUCUACAACAGGAAGCAAGACUGCGAGGUCAAGCAAAUCCUUAAAAGAUACCUCAGUUCGGAUUGCAGGCUGCAACUCGCCUGCAUGAAGGUGGAAUCGCUAGUAAUCGC